GGGGCGCGAAGGGCUGGGUCGGGACGGUGUCUCCCGCUCGGGGGCGGGUUCUGUGGUGCUCUUGACCAAAGGAACAAGACAAGAGCUGCGCCUCACAAAGAUAAGUAUUGAUAGGAUUCAACCAUUAUCAGGAAAGCUAGCCUCUUGGCUACCAAGGGAAAGCCUAUGCAAACCUCCAAGUAGCUUGCUUUGUUGAUUUAAAAAGAUCACUGGUUUUAAAAAGAUCACAUGUUCUUGGGGCCUAGCAGUGCAGUUCGGUGGUCGCUGGCCCCAAUGAAGGAAGAAACAAAGGACAAAUAUCACCCCUGAUAAUUUGGAGGUCUCACGCUGGACAGUGCACAAUCAGCUCCUUGUGAUACUGCAAUAGCAGUCACCCAGGUGCUGAUUGUAGCCAGGAUUGCUCCUGUUGGGGACUUGGUCUCCCUGGCCAGAGCUGGCUCAGCAGAAAGGCAAGAUCUCUGUCCCGCUGUGCCAGCCCCUUCUGCCACCUGUGCUCACAUGGACAGCUGACCGCUGGAGGGUCUCUGUCCAUAGUGAGUUCAAGGCCAGCCUGAAUUACGUAGCGGGACCCUGCCUCGGAAAAAAAAUUCUUUUUUGUCCUGUGAAUUAUGGUAAAAGGUAACUUGAGAUCUGUGUGCUGCGUUUUAGAUGAUGGCACAUAUAUAUGCUUACUACAUUUAGUUUUGUUUGGGGCUGGGUGCUGGCUGUGGUCCCUGUGCCCUAACGUGGACAGGUGUAAGAAUCUAACUUGGUUGGUGGCCCACUCUGCUCUGGGAUGUCUUAGUCCCCUAUGGGGCUGGUUGGGCCCAGCUGCUCCAGGGCGGGCUCAUCAGCACGUCUAGUGGAGUGAUAGAAGUAACUUGACAUUCCUGUCACAUUUUGCAGGUGUCUACAGGGUUCCUCCCUAGGAAGUCGUCCCACAGUGCUUAGUGGGCUUCCCCAAGGCUCAAGCACCUUUCUAGUUAUUUAUGGGAGAUGGAACCCAGGCCCUAGUGCGUGCCAUGCAAGUGCUCUACCACUGAGCUAAACUCGUCCCCUCUUUUCAAAUUUUGAUAGUCUUGCUAUGCUGCCCAGGUGGCCUAGAUCUUUAUCCUCCUCUCUCAGCCUUCUGAAUACUGGGUUUAUGAGCAUGUUCUGCCACACCUGGGUAACAUUUGUUUCUUUAACAUUACAGGAUAAAUUAUCAAUUUAAGAUAAUUUUCAGCCAGACAUAAUGGCAUGUGCAUGGAAUCCCAAGACUCAGGAGGCUGAGGCUGGAGGACACUUGAGCCUGAGUUGAAGAUCAGCUUGGGCAACAGAGCAUGAUUUCAUCUCAGAAUCCAAACUUUUUCAUGAAUUAUUCCCAUACCAGUCUAUUGAUAAUACAUGAACAAUGUAUAAAAACUGGAAAACAAAAAAUAUUUGCACUGUAAAUAUUUAUUGCAAUAUUUUCCAUAUUUUUAUAGAUGAUAACUAAUGGCAUAUAGUGUUCUAAAAUUUUUUGACCUCUAUGUGUACAAGAUUUGAUGAAAAUAAAUAUACCUUAUCUUUAAUUUUAAAGUGUCACUGUAGUGGAUUCAGAAAAUGCACACAGGCUGAUUUGUCAUUCAGUUUUUUUUUACUUGAUAGGACCUGCUGACAACUUUUAGAAUCCUUAAAAGCUUAAGAGACCCUCAGGGAAACAGCCCUGACUUGAGACUUCUGCAGUUAUUUAUUGUAACUCAAGAACAUGAGAACCAAGAGCUUCUGCUCUACACUCCAACCAUGCAUGCCAGGAGGCCUGCACUGUUGUCCAGAAAGUCUCUUCCUUUCCCACAUUCACUUCAAACACUCCUUUGGGUAGAGUCUCCCACAUGAUCCGGCUGGCCAGCUCCUGCACGUGUGAUCAAUUUCCAGCUUCAAAGCUCCCAACAGCCCUCAGCAUACCAGACCAUGCCAACAUGCAAAGCAGGCUCCCUUCAAAUUACUGUUCCGGAUACCAGUAGUCUCUGGACACACCCAGAAAAGGAGUACUUUACUAAUUUUCUAGGCAUUGUCUUAAUCCAACCAGGUUGACACAUAGCAAUUUUUUAAAAGUUAUGUUUAUUUACUAUAUUAUUAGAGCAUUUAUUUGAUACAAAAUAAAAAUUUCCCUGUUUCUCAACCUUUUAUCAUGUAUAAACUUUAAUAUUUCUUCUAAUUUUACUUGCUUUUAAAGAA